rnacentral:lncRNA from 1 species
CCCAGGCUGGAGUGCAAUGGUGUGAUCUCUGCCUCCUGGGUUCAAGCGAUUCUCCUGCCUCAAGCUCCUGAGUAGCUGGGAUUACAGGCGCCCUCCACCACGCCCGGCGAAUUUUUGUAUCUUUAGUAGAGACAGGGUUUCACCACGUUGGCCAGGUUGGUCUUGAACUCCUGACCUCAUGAUCCGCCUGCCUCGGCCUCCCAAAGUGUUGGGAUUACAGGUGUGAGCCACCGCACCCGGCCUCUGAGAAAUAUUUAGAUUGUACGCCUCAAAUGGGCAGGGACUGUGUCUUACACUUUUGUAUUUAUGCUACAGCUUACCUAAUACAGUGCCAGGCCUCGUUAAACACUUAUUGAUUGCUCAGACGAUAAAGAACUUGCUUUGGAAGGAGGAGAGGAUAGUCAUGUGCUUCUGAAUGUAUUGAACUUCUUGAAAUCUCUUUCCUCAUCAAUUUUAGCAGAGUUUCUAUUGAAACUCCUAGGGUGUGUUUAUGGAAGACAAACUGAGAUGUGCUGUCCCAGCCUUAGGCCCUGGCAGUACGCCUUGCCUUUUCACGGCACACCCACUACAGCCUUUCCCACACUGUGACACUGGAGCUGGUGAGUCAAAGUUGAAGAUUAUUCUCUCUUCUAAAGAAAAUAGAAGAAUAUUAGGAGAAAAGACACUUGAAAAUGUUCACUCUUUUAUUCACAUUACAUCAUCUGUCUUGAAUAAUGGGUCUAUCUCUUUCCUGUUGCUCUGGCCCUGAAAAAAAAAUUAGCUUUUUAAGGCUGCUUUUGUUACGUGUGCAUUUUCUUGUAAUCCCGUCAUUCUGGGAUUUAAUAAUAAUAGUAUUAAUACCACCUACCAUUUGUUGGUUACUUACUGUGUUUUAGGCACUGUGCUAAACGCCUU